ensembl:lncRNA
GUCUAACUGUUCCUCUGUCCUGGUCUUCACUUGGGGCAGUCUUGGUCUUGCUUUCCGAAUUCUUCCCUUGGUGUUGUUUAGCCAAGCAGGUCUGGUAGACACAUGAUGACAGUCACUUGUAUAAUUUAAACUUUUCUAACAGAGAUACUUUAAAAGGAGUAAAAUUACUGUUUUGCAGCCACAUUUACACCUUUGUCUGUUUAUGGAAAAAAGAAUUAUCAUACUAUAUAAUACACCAAUUAAAAUUUGCAAUUUAGUUUACCAAGAUAUAUAUAAUAAAUAUACUGAGAUGGAGGACAGUGUGGGAUACAUGGCACAUUAUCUUAGAAAGGGGAGACAGGAGAGAGAGAAUAAAAUAACCUGACUAUUAGUGCUUACUCCUGAUUUGCUUCUAGAACACCCUCUGCCACUAAUCUUCCUUUUGUCUCUGUGAAUUUGCCCAUUGGCCACUUCAUAUAAAUAGAAUCAUAUAAGGUGUGGCCUUCUGUGUCUGGUUUCUGUCUGGUUUCCUUCACUUAGCACAAUGUUUCAAAGUUUAUUCAUGUUACUGCAUAAAUUACAAUAAAGUUAUUUUAUUUAGCCCAAUCUAUCCAAAAUAUUAUUGUUUCAUGUAGUCAAAAUAAAAAAUGAUUAAUGAUAUGUUUCACUUUUUAUAUUAAGUUUUUGAAGGUCAGUGUGUAUUUUAAACUUCAGCCAGUUAUGUUUCAAGAGUUCAGGGACCACACGUGACUUGUAGCUACUAAACUGGCUAGCAAAGCUCUAGCCAGAGUCUUUUCCAUUGCUUGACAUUUUUGUUUGGUUUAGUUUUCUUAUGCUUUUGUGAGUCUAUGCAACCCUGCUGGCCUGGAACUUGUUCUGUAGACCACAUUGGCCUCAAACUUAUGGCAAUGCUCCUGCCUCUGCUUCCACAGUGGUGGGAUUACAGGAAUGUGCAACCACCCCCACUGUACUUUUUGCUAGUCUUUCAGCCUAGCUCAGCAUCCACUGAGCUAAGUCCUUUGAAAGACUAGGUUUUGGUGAGCAAAGGAGAUAACUUUUUAUUUUUAUUUUUCCAGCCCUGAGGAUUGAACCCAAAGCCUCACACACACUAAGUAAGUGCUCUGCCACUGAGCUAUGUUUUUUUAGCUCCUUCUAAAAAACAAACAAACAAACCUUUAUUUUGAGACAAGGUAUUGCCAAGUUACAGCGGUUGGACUUGAACUCACUCUGUAGCCUAAGUGGGACUUGACCUUACCAUCCUUCUCCCUCUGUCUUCCAAGCACUUGGGAUUUUAGGCCUGUGCCAUAAGCCCCAGAUGAAAAUUGAAUUGGAAAGAAAUCUGGGUGAAGAAAAGGAUGACAAGGAGGAGCCAGGUGUAAUGGCUUGCAGCUAUAAUCACAAAACUGUGGACGCUGAGGCAGAACAACUUUCUCCAUGCACAGCUCCACUCCCGGGUACCUUUUCAUUCACCUAGGCACCAACUGACACCAAUAUUGGGGGGUGAUUUAGGGAUCCUAAGCCUGGUCACUCUGAUGUUUUGCUAAAUUCCCUUGUCCCCUGAAGAGGGCCUUAAGCUUGUUGUCUGCCUUGGUCGUUGUAAUAACUCAUCUUGGUUGUCAACUUGAAUACAUCUGGAAUGAGCUAAAACCCAAGCUGCUUGGCAUACCUGGGAUAGAUUUUCUUAAGACUCACCUUCAAUCUGGGCUACACCUUCUAGGGACUGGCCACAUACAGGACACGGGAGAAAGACACUUUCUCUUUGCUUGCUUCCCCCCACUCUAACUAGCAAGUUCAUCUAUCGGCUAUUGAGGCAUUCCUUCUCUGGUAUUAGAACUCGAUUCUUCAGAUUCCAGUGUAGACUGCAGGAAUCCUCUGGGACUCUAACACCAGACUGGAACUGCUGAGACAUCUAGCCUCAGGGACUGCACAAAUACCAGAUUCUCAGCCUCUCCAUUACAAGACAGCCAUUGUUGACUACUCAGACUACAUCCAGUAGUUCCAGAGUUUAAAAGAGCUCACAUCUUACAGGAUCAACCAAGGGUGAUGGUAGAACAUGAAGACUUCUUAUCUAUUUGGUUAGGCUCUUCAAAGCAGCAAGGAAAGAGUGCAUGCACCUGGAUCCUCCUCGCCAAUAAGGAAACCCAGAGUGCCAUCUCUUUAAGUGAGACACGUAUCAGAACAUGGCAUCGACCCCAGAAAUUGCACAGAGCCAGAGUGUCCCCAGCAUCAACACCUUUCAGGAGAGAAACUGAAUUCAUUUGCCAACAACCAACUCCAUCGGACAGUGCCAGAAAGUACGGGACUGCUUGCGUUCAUUUCUUCGAGAUGAGUCAGGGUUGCAGGGUGUCGAUGAUUAGAUGUAAAUGUUAAACCAAAAGCCCAUGGUGGUCACUUUGGCUUUCCUUCUGUGGAAAUCCAGCUUCUCACUUGGGGGGAAGGGGUUGUGUUACAUGUGAUAUUGGCAUGUUGCUCUGGUUUCCUGAAGCCCCCAUUUUUUGGGUCUCUCUGUGCCCUUCCCAUAUACACAAACACAUUUUCAGGUAAAACAUCUGGAAGGUCCUAUUUCAAAAGAGCAUGGCCAAGAAAAUCUUUCCAUUUGUAAAAAUAAUGUAAACCCUUUAGACUGUAAUGUCCUGCAGAGCAGGGGAAUUAUACAACAGCAAUAAAAUUGUCAGCUUUCAAUAAUCAGCCACAUUUUUUAUGGUAUUUUGUCACUGGGAAAGCACUUUUUAAUAAUCA